GAUGAAGAACGCAGCGAAAUGCGAUACUUGGUGUGAAUUGCAGAAUCCCGUGAACCAUCGAGUCUUUGAACGCAAGUUGCGCCUCAAGCCAUUAGGUUGAGGGCACGUCUGCCUGGGCGUCACAUAUCGUUGCCUGAUGCCAGUUUCCUCGUGAUGGGUGACUGUGCAGGGCGAAUGAUGGCUUCCCGUGAGCAUUGUUGCCUCAUGGUUGGUUGAAAAUUGAGUCCUUGGUAGGGAGCGCCGUGAUAGAUGGUGGUUGAGUGACGAACGAGACCCAAUCAUGUGAGACCCCUACCGAAUUUGGCCUUCAUGACCCACAUGCGUCUUUGGAACGCUCAUGACGAGACCUCAGGUCAGGCGGGGCUACCCGCUGAGUUUAAGCAUAUCAAUAAGCGGGGA
rnacentral:misc_RNA from 1 species